GACGAACGCUGGCGGCGUGCCUAAUACAUGCAAGUAGAACGCACAGUUUAUACCGUAGCUUGCUACACCAUAGACUGUGAGUUGCGAACGGGUGAGUAACGCGUAGGUAACCUGCCUGGUAGCGGGGGAUAACUAUUGGAAACGAUAGCUAAUACCGCAUAAUAUUAAUUAUUGCAUGAUAAUUAAUUGAAAGGUGCAAUUGCACCACUACCAGAUGGACCUGCGUUGUAUUAGCUAGUAGGUGAGGUAACGGCUCACCUAGGCGACGAUACAUAGCCGACCUGAGAGGGUGAUCGGCCACACUGGGACUGAGACACGGCCCAGACUCCUACGGGAGGCAGCAGUAGGGAAUCGUCGGCAAUGGACGAAAGUCUGACCGAGCAACGCCGCGUGAGUGAAGAAGGUUUUCGGAUCGUAAAGCUCUGUUGUAAGAGAAGAACGGGUGUGAGAGUGGAAAGUUCACACUGUGACGGUAUCUGACCAGAAAGGGACGGCUAACUACGUG
rnacentral:rRNA from 1 species